rnacentral:lncRNA from 1 species
CUGUCUAGGAAGAGACCUGACACUCAAAGUAAUGAGUGUCACAAGUGCCCUCCAAGUUUCCUAAUCCACACUUCCUUGUGACCAUUAUCUUUUAUGGUGGCACUUGUAACAGUUCCAUACAAUUUUCCUGUUUCUAACAACCGUUGGUAAUGAGUCCUUGACAGUCUUUUCCAAUGUCUUUUCACAAGUUCCAAGUUAACUUAAAGAGGAAAACUGUGUUUGUUUAGAAUGCUGUGUUUUCCCCAGUCUUUUCCACUCUUCCCACCAAGUUGACACAGCACGACCUUCCCCUCCUCCAUCUCUUCCUUCCUCCCUUCCUUCCUUCGAUAUUCCGUUCUUUCUUCCAUACUUCCUUCUUUUCUUCCUUUUUUUCUAGGAGUGUUAGUUAAGGGGGUAAAAUAUUGCAGCUUUUAAAACAGUGAUGUGGUUUCCAUUAUAUUCAGCCCUGUCUCCUUCCAUGGUCUCUGGAUGCUAAAAAAAUAUUGAAAACAAAUUUUGAUUCGUUUACAGAUGUUUGCCUCUGGAGGCGGGGGUUGGACAUCCUCAAGGAGAAUUCAUCAGUGGCCCUGUAGAUACAUGUGCUUACAGAUAUUGGACCUUCCCAGCCUGCCUUCCUUUUGGUAUUCUUUUCCAUUUGAAUCUGUUUUUCCCUUAGAUAUUAAGCCAAAGAGAUCUGUAGUCCUCUCUGGACCCUGCUUAGUUUUCAGGUAUCAGUGUCCUUUGUCAGAUGAGUGUUCAAACAUUCAGAAAGAAAAGAAAGCUUUUUCUUUAACUUUCGAUGGGAUGUGCUUUAGCAUAAGAUACCUUAUCCUGAGUCUAGGACUUGGCAUCCUCCUCCAAUUAAGCAAACUAGACAUUUGACUGGUGGUUUCAAGAAGCAGAUCACUUUUCUACUUUUUUUCUCUAUGGUUAUAUAUAUUCUGAUUCUAAGAAAUGAAGUGAAAACACUAGGAAAUAACUGAAGAUGCCACACUGCCCUAGACCACUCCAGAAACUGUGCUCAAAGUAUACCACACUGUGAGAAGCAAUAGGAGAGAGGCUCUGAGGCUGAGCCACUUUUUGCAAAAGGGAAAAUAAGAUAAGGAAAAUGUUAACAUAGUAAAAACAAAGGCCCUUCUUUUAGGAUCUCAAACAUAGAGUCUCUUUAGAUUGUUAUUUUGACUUAUCUGACAAGCAUUUUCUCCAGUCUAUAAGUGGAUACUGUUUAGCCUACUGCAAGUCCAGGACAAAGUUAUUAUGGCAACUACUACCAAUUUUCCCUGGAAUAAAACUUAGUGUCAGCAAAGACAGAGGAAAGAGAUGCAAAUAUGAGACACAAGGUUAAGUGCACUCUCUGGAGAAGAGGCACCCUUUGUUUUGGGAAAAUACUGAGAGUAGAAAUUGAUAAUUCCAGAACACAGAUGUGAAUUCGUACCUGAUUUUUUAGUUACAAACUUCUACAAACCGUGAAGUCAUUUGGAGCUGUUUGGUGGUGGUAUGCUUGGAAAACAAAACAAAACAACCAGUCUGAAAGAAUUGCCAGAACACCUGCCCAUUUGUCAUUCUCUUCUGAGUAUAGUGUUAGCAGACAGGACUUUGAUAGAGAAAAUGGAAGGUGAUUAAAAUUACAGGAGUGUCUAUAAAACACUUUUGUUCCUUGCCCCUUGAACUCAAGGGGAAGCUGCAUUCAGCCCCUUCCACCCUCUCAUCCUACUCAAACUUGAACUCUAAACUGAAAGCCUGCUCCUCCUUACGUGGCCUGACAGCCCAUCUCUGUGCAGCUUUAGUUACAAAGACUUUUAGAGAAUUCACUGGCUUAAGGACAAACAGCAAUGUGUGUAGACAAAACAGAUUAGACAGACAGAAAGACAUUGGUAGAAGGGUUGUGCUCCCCAACUCCCCUCAUUGUUAAAGUGGAAAAGGAGCCCAGCUGGCCAAUGUUGCCCCCACCUGGUUAUAUCCAAGUUGUCCCAAGACCCAGACAGGGAAAGGGGUGUGCUAACUCUCUGUCCAGCUGGAGUUUUCCCUAUCAGGAAACUUGGCUGAAACAGCUAAUGGGGGUUGAUAAAAACACAUGCUUGUAGAGACUUAUAUGGUGAUGAGAAUGCAGACUCAGAAGACUUGAGUUCUAAAAUGCUACUUCAGCACAGUCCUGGCUGGAGGAAGGAGCAAGGGGGUGUCAGAAGGCUUCCCUGAGAGUGUUUACAGAACUUGGAGGUUUGACAAGCAUAGCAUCAAGUUCAUUGUUC